UUGCUGUGAUAAUAAGAAGAUUAAAGAAGCUGUAUUACAGUGAGCUUUCAUUUAACAUCUCUGUGGGCUGAUAGAUGCUUAAGUAUAAUGAAAGCAUAAGAAAUUUUUGAGUUGCAGCUGUAUAAAGUGGAGGAAUGGCAACUAUUCUAGCAGCUAUGAGCUACCUUUCUGCAUGGGAGUUUCUAGCUAGUGAGCUGGAAAAAAAAUUACAAAUAAUUAAAUAAUGAGCCUGGGAACCACGUAUCCAUCAAUAUAUUUUUAAAUGUUAAUUUUCUAAUAAGUUGGAAUUUCUAUUGCCUCAGAACUUUCCUCAAAGUUCCUUGAAAUAGCCAAUUAUUUAGUUUAAUGCUUUAUUUAGAUGCAACAAAAUUCAAUUAUGGAAGGUUGUUUUGAAUCUAUGGAAUUGUCUUGUAAUUAUCUUGUCCUUUUUCUGAUUUUUAUUUUAUUUCUUUACGAGCUUAUACAGUCAGCUAAGAAAAUAAUAAUAAUGGAUGUGGAAACAGUCAUUGUGACUAUGUGUAAUUCACAUGCCAUAAUCAGAAAAACAGCUCUUAGUUGCAGAUAACAUUGAAUUACCAAACUAAAACUAAGCACAGAGCCUUUUCACAGCUCAAUUCUGACAGCAAGAAAACAAAAUAAAUAGGAUCGUCUGAAACAAUUUCGAGACUAAUAUCCGAAAGAGGACAUUUUUUUUUCUCUUGCAAACCAGCGCACAGUUCUAGUACAAAAAAUAGUAAUCUGCAUGUUCUGUAUUAUUAAAGAAGUCUAAAGCAAGUAUUGCUGCCCACUGCUUUCCAUAGCCCUCUUUUGUUGUCUUCUGGACAAAGGAACAUGCAAGGUGGAAACUGCAAACCAGAGCUUUUAUAGCUCAGUAAAUAGGAUUUCUGCCAUUGCUAUGUAAAGUUGAUAGGCUUUGCAUUGAUAGGCUUUGUGUUGGGCCUGAGCUGGUUUUAGCUUCUUUUAAAAAUUUGCUAGUGGUUGAGCAUUGCCUAAACUGUUUUAGUUAAGGUUCUGUGAAUAUCAUAUAUCGUAAAUAUCUGUCAAACCUAGCUAGUAGGUGAUCAGGCCUAGUGUACUAGGUCGUAUUGUUUGCCUGGCAAAUAACAACCCUUUGCACUACCAGAGGCUGGGGAAAACUCUUGUGCAGCUUUCAAGCUUUAGCUGAAAUCCAUUGAAAAGGAAUUAGGCAGUGAUAAGAAAGCAUUAAAAAACAGUUUCAAGUGGAUCCAAGACUGAGGAGGAAGGGAACUGCAGCACCAGCAACGAGUGGCUCCUGAGUUUUCUACUCUUACUGGUGUGAGAAAUUUAAAUAUUGCAUACAGUGUGAACUUAGUAAUGGAGAUGGAUUCCUUUUUAUAUGAAGAGAUCAUCCGAGACUAUGAUGUAGUCUUCAAACUGCAUGAUCUCUGUUUUUCAUAAGCACUGAAAAUUUAUGCUGCUGGAUGGUGAAUUCCUUUCUGCACAUCUGCUUACUAGUGUCUGCCUCCACGGUGAUGAUACAUGAAAACAGCAGACCUGAUCUGCAGUGCAGAGAGCAGGACUCUACGUCUGAGCUUUAGAAGUCAGCAAUUUACCGCAUGAGCAACCUUGAAGACCUAACAAACCUUAAGAAAAAAAUCAUCUGAAUUUAGCAAGUGAUCAAUGAGGGGGCUACAGGAGAUUUACAGCUGGACCUGAAACUCAAAUACAAAGAAUUGCUCGGGGAUGUGAAGGUUGAGGGCAGCCCUGACUGUGGUGACGAUGUGGAAUUUCAAUUGUGGAAUUUGAAAUUCUGACAGAACUAAACAAGACAAGGAGGAGUAUUACAGCUUAUGAAUCAUUUAGGGAUCUGCGUGGGAGGAUGGACUGGGAGACAGCCCUCAAGAAGGAAAAGGACUCAGGACACCUACUUGUACUUCAAGGACGAUCUCCUUUAAGUACAAGGAUAUUUUGAUCUGUGGAAAGUUAAACAAGUUCAUCUCUGCUAGCUUUUUGCUGAGCUCAGACACAAAAGGCAAGUCCAGAGAAGGUGGAAGCGGGGAUGGGAUCCAUUAGGAUGCUCUGAAGGCUAGAGACUUCAUGAAUGAUGUAUGAGGAGAGGCUGAGUGCUUGAUUUGUUCUGCCUGGAGAAGAGAAGGCUAAAGUGAAGUCUUACUGUUGUCACCAGCCACCUAAUGGAAGACUCUAAUGGAGCCACCUAAUGGAGCAGACUCUUCUUAGAGGAGGAGAAACUAUUGUGAAUUGUUGUCAAACUGGACCUUGCAGUCUUUUCGUUAAAGAAAUUAUCACACCUGCCGUUGCUAUAGCACUAUGCAUGAGAGAAAAAAAUGCAGCUAGGAAAAGACAGAAAGGACCUCUCUGUCUGCAUAAAAGCCGGAUACUUUCUGGACUUGCAUCACUUGUUGUAGUUCCUUGCAGAAAAUAAAUGCAGUUGACAAAAUCCUCCA